GCAACAGCCCAGAUUUGAAAUCUGUCCCUCUAGGGUCCGACUUGUAAUCUGCAGAUGGGUCUUCCCGGGGGCACGCGUGCCGCCCAAGUGUACCUGGAACGGUUUGCCGAAGAGGGUGAGAGCCCCGUACGGCGGCGCCGAGCCUCCUCCAGCGAAGCCCAUUCGGAGAGUCGAGCAGUUUGGGAAUGCUGCUCUAAAGGGAGGUAAAUCCCUUCCAAGGCUAAAUACCUGCCGGAGACCGAUAGCGCAGAAGUAGCGCGAGCGAAAGGUGAAUAGAACUCUGAAAAGAGAGUUAAAGCAUGUGAAAUCGUUGAAGGGGAAGCGGUUUCGACCAGACGCGCGCCGGUCGGUCACCCAGCGGUUACGCUGGGGCACUCUGCCGGCGCGGGCCAGCAUCGGCUGGCGGCGGGGUCAAAGGCCCGGGGAACGUGGCUCUUCGGAGUGUUAUAGCCCCGGGCGUAAUGCCUCGUUGCCGGCCGAGGAUUCUUGCGCCUUCGGGCACGGAUGCUGGCGUAAUGGUCGACUCCGACCCGUCUUGAAACACGGACCAAGGAGUUGACCCAGCGUGCGAGUGUAAGGGUGUAAAGCCCUGACGCGCAAUGAAAGUGAACGCAGGUGGGAGCCUUCGCGGGUGCACCACCGACCGAUCCUGAAGUUCUCUGACGGAUUCGAGUACGAGCACGUUGGGUCUGACCCGAAAGAAGUGUGAACUAUGCCUGGAUAGGGUGAAGCCAGAGGAAACUCUGGUGGAGGCUCGCAGCGGUUCUGACGUGCAAAUCGAUCGUCAAAUCUUGGCAUGGGGGCGAAAGACCAAUCGAACCUUCUAGUAGCUGGUUCCUGCCGAAGUUUCCCUCAGGAUAGCAGAGUUGAGGGCAGUUUUACGCGGUAGAGUAAAGAUUGGGGAACCGGGGGCGCUAUUUAGCCUUCAUCCACUCUCUAACUCCGAAUGCGUAAGAAACCCCCGUUUCUUUACUGAACGCGGGUCUUCGAAUGCGCAACUCUAGUGGGCCAGGUUUGGUAAGCAGAACUGGCGAUGUGGGAUGAACCAAACGGGGACUUGAGGAGCCUAAAUGGGCGCUCAUGAGACACCACAAAAGGUGUUAGCACAUCUUGACAGUA
rnacentral:rRNA from 2 species